GUCUUUGUUUGCUACCAAAUCUUUAUUCAAAUCAACAUAUUUCUAGACUUUCUGGUGUAAACUAAGAAUGGACGUUCAAUGGUGUAAAAACAAAGAAACCAAUAUGCAUUGAUUUUACUACCUCGAUGGAAUUUAUUUUUAAAGAAUGAAUGAAUCACUAGUUUACAUAUUUCUGCAGUUAUCUGAAGUAGCCAAUAGAAAUAAAUC